rnacentral:rRNA from 1 species
AGAGUUUGAUCCUGGCUCAGAACGAACGCUGGCGGCAGGCUUAACACAUGCAAGUUGAACGUGAUUUGCUGGGUGCUUGCACCGAGCAAUGAAAGUAGCGCACUGGUGAGUAACACGUGGGAACGUACCUUUUGGUGGGGAACAACAGUUGGAAACGACUGCUAAUACCGCAUAAGCCCUGAGGGGGAAAGAUUUAUCGCCGAAAGAACGGCCCGCGGAAGAUUAGGUAGUUGGUGGGGUAACGGCCUACCAAGCCGACGAUCUAUAGCUGGUCUGAGAGGACGAUCAGCCACAUUGGAACUGAGACACGGUCCAAACUCCUACGGGAGGCAGCAGUGAGGAAUAUUGGGCAAUGGAGGCAACUCUGACCCAGCCAUGCCGCGUGAGUGAAGAAGGUUUUCGGAUUGUAAAGCUCUUUCGGGUGUGACGAUGAUGACGGUAGCACCUAAAGAAGCCCCGGCUAACUUCGUGCCAGCAGCCGCGGUAAUACGAAGGGGGCAAGCGUUGUUCGGAAUUACUGGGCGUAAAGGGAGUGUAGGCGGUUAUGUAAGAUAGUGGUGAAAUCCCAGAGCUUAACUUUGGAAUUGCCAUUAUGACUAUGUGGCUAGAAUUACAGAGAGGAUAGUGGAAUACCCAGUGUAGAGGUGAAAUUCGUAGAUAUUGGGUAGAACACCAGUGGCGAAGGCGACUAUCUGGCUGUAUAUUGACGCUGAGGCUCGAAAGCAUGGGGAUCAAACAGGAUUAGAUACCCUGGUAGUCCAUGCUGUAAACGAUGAGUGCUUGUUGUCGGUGUAAAAUCGGUGACGAAGUUAACGCGUUAAGCACUCCGCCUGGGGAGUACGGUCGCAAGAUUAAAACUCAAAGGAAUUGACGGGGACCCGCACAAGCGGUGGAGCAUGUGGUUUAAUUCGAUGCAACGCGAAGAACCUUACCAACUCUUGACAUCCUUAUCGGGGAGAUCAGAGAUGAUUUCUUUCAGUUAGGCUGGAUAAGUGACAGAUGCUGCAUGGCUGUCGUCAGCUCGUGUCGUGAGAUGUUGGGUUAAGUCCCGCAA